rnacentral:rRNA from 1 species
GGAUGCGAUCAUACCAGCACUAAUGCACCGGAUCCCAUCAGAACUCCGAAGUUAAGCGUGCUUGGGCGAGAGUAGUACUAGGAUGGUGACCCCCUGGAAGUCCUCGUGUUGCAUCCC